ACGCGCGGAACCUUACCAGGUCUUGACAUCCUUCGCUACUUCUAGAGAUAGAAGGUUCCCCUUCGGGGGACGAAGUGACAGGUGGUGCAUGGUUGUCGUCAGCUCGUGUCGUGAGAUGUUGGGUUAAGUCCCGCAACGAGCGCAACCCUUGAUCUUAGUUGCCAGCAUUAGGUUGGGCACUCUAAGGUGACUGCCGGUGACAAACCGGAGGAAGGUGGGGAUGACGUCAAAUCAUCAUGCCCCUUAUGACCUGGGCUACACACGUGCUACAAUGGAUGGUACAAAGGGCUGCAAGACCGCGAGGUCAAGCCAAUCCCAUAAAACCAUUCUCAGUUCGGAUUGCAGGCUGCAACUCGCCUGCAUGAAGCCGGAAUCGCUAGUAAUCGCGGAUCAGCAUGCCGCGGUGAAUACGUUCCCGGGCCUUGCACACACCGCCCGU
rnacentral:rRNA from 1 species